rnacentral:tRNA from 1 species
UCUGCGAUAGCUCAGCGGUAGAGCAAUCGGCUGUUAACCGAUUGGUCGUAGGUUCGAAUCCUACUCGCAGAGCCA